rnacentral:lncRNA from 1 species
ACAUGCUGGGAACAAAAGAAGCUUUAGCCAUGAUGGUGAAGAAGGGGAUGGAGGACUUAAAAGAUUGAAAUAGUUUGUAUUUCUUUCCAUCUUUGGCUCUGCUUUUGAGGAGUUUCAACUUGUCAAUUAUGUCAUCCAAAUGCAUAGGUAAGGGUUUCAUUUCAUCUCAUUUUUUCAUAUUAUCAUACAUUUUUCAGUUUUUUCAUUUCAUUUUUCAUAUUGCCAUGCUUUUGUUUUCCACAAUUGUUAAUAGUAAAUUUUGAACUUAUAAAUUAAUAACAGCAAAUGAAGUGCUUUAAUUAAUUAAAACCGACCAGGAUGAAUCUAAACUUGCUCUGCUUUAUAAAUUACUUGUCUUCUAGAAGGUGCUUUACCAUACUGAAACCUUGUAGUUCCACAUUGUAAAUGUUAAAAGCAUAAUUUAUGAAACAUAAAAUUGGAAAUUUGUUCAACAGUUGUGAUUGUUGCUUACUAUCAUUUUUCUCAUCUUCAUUCCCCUGUCGUGUCUGUGUUCUUUUGUAGAUAUAGCAUAUAUUGUCCAAGAAGGAAAUUCUCCAUAUAUAUUAAUUAAUUUAGAGGAAAAUUGAACAGUAACUGGAGAUUUCAAUACAGUAGCAAAAUGAUUCUGCUUUGGAGUUGAUAAAAUAUCCAUAGGGGAUUUUGG